CACUUGCCCUUUCUUAAAACUCCUCUCCACUCUAUCUCUGUCAAAGUCAUAGAAAUCAGAAUCCUCCACUGCCAUUAUCUCCAAAUCUCCACUUCUCAAACCCCUAUGGCGCUCAAUUUCCAAAUUUACACUCUUCCUUGAUGCAGCACGCCUCUUAAUUCCCAAAUCCUUACUCUCAUCCAACAUGCCUCCUUCAAGAUCCAUCUCCCCACUCUUCUUUGAAGCUCCACUUUUCUUAAUCUUUAUAUCUCCAAGCUUCUUCAAGAGCUCAAGUUUUUCCUUCUCUUUUUGACUUCUCUUCUUUACUGCAUCCUUCUGCUUCUCCCUCUCCUUCAAUUUUGCCUUCUCUUUAAAAGCUUUCUGCUUUGCUUCUAACUGCAUCUCUGCUAGUGUCAUCAUAUCCGCUCCAACUUUCACUCUCUUUGGCUUUGAUCUCUCCAAGACUUCAUCAACAGUACUCAUUUUCCUC
rnacentral:misc_RNA from 1 species